rnacentral:rRNA from 1 species
CUUACAAGCUGUGGAAGCACAUUUCUUGUGUGACCGCGUACUUUUUGUAGAACGGGCCAACGAGUUACGUUAAGUAGCAAGGUUAAGCACUUAAGGUGCGGAGCCGUAGCGAAAGCGAGUUUUAACUGAGCGUUCAGUUACUUGACGUAGACCCGAAACCGGGCGACCUACCCAUGAGCAGGAUGAAGCGAAAGUAAAAUUUCGUGGAGGUCCGAACCCACGAGCGUUGAAAAGCUCGGGGAUGACUUGUGGGUAGCGGUGAAAUUCCAAUCGAGCCCGGAGAUAGCUGGUUCUCCCCGAAAUAGCUUUAGGGCUAGCCUCAAGGUGAGAGAUACGGAGGUAGAGCACUGAAUGUCCUAGGGGGUAUUGCACCUACCGAAGACUAUCAAACUCCGAAUGCCGUCAUCUUAUACUUGGGAGUCAGACUGUGGGUGAUAAGAUUCAUAGUCGAAAGGGCAACAGCCCAGAUCGUCAGCUAAGGUCCCUAAAUGUAAGUUAAGUGGUAAAGGAUGUGGGAUUGCACAGACAACCAGGAUGUUGGCUUAGAAGCAGCCACUCAUUCAAAGAGUGCGUAAUAGCUCACUGGUCGAGUGAUCCUGCGCCGAAGAUUUCCGGGGCUAAAACUUACUACCGAAGCUACGGCAUCAGUAAUGAUGGGUAGGGGAGCUUCCCAUACGGGUUGAAGCAUGACCGUAAGGACAUGUGGACAGUAUGGGAGUGAGAAUGUUGGCAUGAGUAGCGAGAUGUGGGUGAGAAUCCCACAGGCCGUAAACCCAAGGUUUCCAGGGGAAGGUUCGUCCGCCCUGGGUUAGUCGGGACCUAAGCUGAGGCCGAAAGGCGUAGGUGAUGGACAACAGGUUGAUAUUCCUGUACUACCGAUAACCGUUUGAGAGAAGGGAUGACACAGUAGGAUAAGCUAAGCACACUGUUGGUUAUGUGUGCCCAAGCAUUGAGGCAGUCAAAGUAGGCAAAUCCGCUUUGAUAAUGCUGGGAUGUGAUGGGGAGCGAAAUUUAGUAGCGAAGUAGCUGAUUUCACACUGUCAAGAAAAGUCUCUAUCGAGGUUAAAGGUACCCGUACCGCAAACCGACACAGGUGGGUGAGGAGAGUAUCCUAAGGCCAGCGAGAGAACUGUUGUUAAGGAACUCGGCAAAAUGACCCCGUAACUUAGGGAUAAGGGGUGCCACCAUCAGGUGGCCGCAGAGAAUAGGCCCAAGCGACUGUUUACCAAAAACAUAGGUUUCUGCUAAGUCGCAAGACGAUGUAUAGGAGCUGACGCCUGCCCGGUGCUGGAAGGUUAAGGGGAUCUGUUAGAGCAAUCGAAGCAGUGAACUUAAGCCCCAGUAAACGGCGGCCGUAACUAUAACGGUCCUAAGGUAGCGAAAUUCCUUGUCGGGUAAGUUCCGACCCGCACGAAAGGCGUAACGAUUUGGGCACUGUCUCAACAACAGACUCGGUGAAAUUGUAAUUCCGGUGAAGAUGCCGGAUACCUGCGACAGGACGGAAAGACCCCAUGGAGCUUUACUGUAGCUUGACAUUGGGUCUUGGUACUACAUGUACAGGAUAGGUGGGAGGCUUUGAAACCAGGACGCCAGUUUUGGCGGAGCCAUCCUUGGGAUACCACCCUUGUAGUACUGGGACUCUAACCAUAGGCCAUGAAUCUGGUCUUGGGACACUGUCAGGCGGGCAGUUUGACUGGGGCGGUCGCCUCCCAAAAGGUAACGGAGGCGCUCAAAGGU